AGCCCUGUGGUGAAGAGCACAUUGGAUUGCAAAUCCAAAGGCGCAGAUGAUAGUCUGCCGGGGCUU
rnacentral:tRNA from 1 species